ACUGGGUUGGCCGAGUGGUUAAGGCGUUGGACAUAAGUUCCAAUGGACAAGUGCCCGCGUGGGUUCGAACCCCACACCCAGUA
rnacentral:tRNA from 1 species